GGAAUUCUCCCUUUCAGUCUCGACUCAGACGCAGCGGCGCGGUGGAGAUCUUCUUCUCCGAUCAACCUUUGAAGCGUCGCCGUGAACAGAAAUGAAACGCACCGAUCUCAUCUCUCCGAUCAUGCUCUCUUCUCACUUCUCGCCUCUAUUUCUUCUUUUCAUUUUCCUUCACGAACUCGUUGUAAGAUCGUCGCCGAUUGAUGCGAGAUUGGUAGUUUGAUGUUGAACGUGGCGGAGUUCGAAGGUUGUGAUGCAGUGGUGAUGAAUAUUGCGGGAAGGUCUGGAUGAUGAUGAUGAUUGAAUCGGUUCUGCACCAAGAUUCAAGAAUGAAGGUCAGAGUUCGCUACGUGGAGCCUCUUUUGUUGCAGGUUUUUUUCUCUUUUGUUAUCGGCUCUUCAUUUCUGUUCUGAGAUUUUUCUGAAGUUUUGUUGUUGCUGCGAGAUUGAGCUUAAUGAUGAAGGCGAUGCGAUGAGAGUUGCAGAGGUUCUGAGACGAUUAAUGGAGGCUACCGAGAAUUCGAGGAAUUCAGGAUGAAGUAAGAAUGGACACAGAGUGAAGAUGGUGAUGAAGGUUGUCUCAAGGUUGCAGAGAGAUUGAGAGUGAAGAGAUGAGGAUUGAGAAGUAAUGGUGAAGAUGAUGAAUGUUCUGAGAUGAAGUGUGUGAAGAGUGGUUGAAGAUUCUGAAUGUGAAGAUGGUGAUCAAGUGGAGAAGAAUGGAUCGAGAGAGAGCUUUUUUGUGUUUGUGAAGAUCCUGUUAUAUAGAGUAUGGGGGAAGUUUCAGGUGCUUGUAAUGGAAGCAAAUUGUGAGCAAUGCUUUUGGAAAAGUUUGGAAGAAGAUCAACAUGAAGUUUAGAAUCAAAGAAGAACAUAGGUUUAGAAAUUUUUAGAAUUUAGGAACUUGAUGUAAUGGGAUUGAUUGAAAUUGUAAUGGCUUAAUGAUAUGGGAUUUUUUGUAAUGGAUAUGAAUAGUGGAUUUGUAAUGACUCUGUAAUGGAACUAGAAAAUGGUUCUUUUUUUUGGUAACUCGAGAAUAACUUGUAAUGGCUUGUGAUGGAAUUUGAGAUAGAGUGAUAUGGACAA